UAAGGAAUAUUGGUCAAUGGACGCAAGUCUGAACCAGCCAUGCCGCGUGAAGGAUGAAGGUCCUCUGGAUUGUAAACUUCUUUUAUAGGGGGCGAAAAAAGGUCUUUCUAGAUCACUUGACAGUACCCUAUGAAUAAGCACCGGCUAACUCCGUGCCAGCAGCCGCGGUAAUACGGAGGGUGCAAGCGUUAUCCGGAUUCACUGGGUUUAAAGGGUGCGUAGGCGGGUAGGUAAGUCAGAGGUGAAAUCCUGGAGCUUAACUCCAGGACUGCCUUUGAUACUAUCUAUCUUGAAUAUGGUGGAGGUAAGCGGAAUAUGUCAUGUAGCGGUGAAAUGCAUAGAUAUGACAUAGAACACCUAUUGCGAAGGCAGCUUACUGGCCAGCAACUGACGCUGAGGCGCGAAAGCCAGGGGAGCGAACG
rnacentral:rRNA from 1 species